UCUUUUAUCCGCAACGGCGGAUGCAGAAAGAUCAUGUAUACGGGUCAAAAACGGAAAUAAGGGGGCGAACUCGAAAGGGUCGAAGAGGAGAAAGAUCGCACACGAGAGAGAUCGAAUGUGAGAAGGAGCCAGAAAGAAAUAACGGAGAAAAUCGGUCGUCCCCGCCAACUUUCCGAGAAGACAUCCGACAUCCCGACGGUGUAUCGAAGUGCUGCGAGAAGAACAGCACCAUCGAGGAGAAGUGAACUUUUUCCAUCAGGAGUGGUACUAUUUCAGUAUUUGUGAUCAGGACUAAAGACUGUGA
rnacentral:lncRNA from 1 species